CUGUACCUCGCUAGAAAGCACCUGCUAACUACGUGCCAGAAGCAUCGGUAAUACGUAGGGUGCAAGCGUUAUCCGGAUUUACUGGGCGUAAAGGGUUCCGUCGGCGUCCUGAUAAGUUUCUUGUUUAAGCCUGAGGCUUAACUUCAGACGAGCAAGAAAAACUGUCAGGAUUGAGUCUGUUCGGGGAAACUAGAACUCUCGGUGUAGGGGUGAAAUCCGUAGAUAUCGAGAGGAAUGCCAAUCGCGAAAGCAGGUUUCUAGGACAGCACUGACGCUCAGGGACGAAAGCUAGGGUAGCAAAAGGGAUUAGAGACCCCUGUAGUCCUAGCCGUAAACGAUGCUCGCUAGCUGGUCGAUCUUCGGAUUGACUGGCGCAAGCUAACGCGUUAAGCGAGCCGCCUGGGAAUUACGAUCGCAAGAUUAAAACUCAAAGGAAUUGGCGGGGGAGCGUACAACCGGUGGAGCAUGUGGUUUAAUUCGAUACAAAGCGAAAAACCUUACCUAGACUUGACAUGUACCUGCGAAGCUUGGGAUAACCAAGCCAUCCUUCGAGGGAGGUACACAGGUGAUGCAUGGCUAUUUGUAAUGGCCGCUUUGGUGGUAACAUCAAAGGCAAAAUCGGCUCAUAACGGUGAAACCCUCACGUGAUAAAAUUUAAAUAUCACGAAGGGCAAUACCGUGGGAAGUUCAAGUUUUACUAGUAAAUCACUAGAUCCAUAUAUAUUAGGUCUUUGGGGUGCUGAUGGCUAUCAUCGUACUAGCUCAAUUGGUCUAACUGCAAUUUAUCCAGAACUUAUCAAAAGGUUCUAUAACUUUCUAAUAGGAUUCUUUCCUUUAGAAAGGUUAAGAUUGCGGAUUUAUACCAACACAGGCGAGCCAAAACCCGUACCUCCAGUAAUGAACUGGUAUCAAGGCAAAAUAGCUUUUGCUAAAGGUUCAAAAUUAAGCAAACAAGCGUGGCAGCUAUAUAUUAAUAGCCGGCCACUACUGAGACAAUUCAGGAAAUCACUUGCUAAUCGCUUAAAUUUACCUAAAAAAGAUAUAUUGCACUAUUUAUCAGGUAGAUUUGAUGGUGAUGGCAGUAUUGCUAAAAAUCUGAAAAAUGAUUUUCGCAUCACUUAUAGCAAUCGCCGUGAAGCUGAGGUUGAUCAAAAACUUUUGACCAAAAUCAACUUUAAUCACACUAAUAUCUAUCGAUAUCAGCAAGCUGGAACGCACGUUAUAUAUGUAUCAACAAAGGAAAGCACUAAGCUAACUGGCUUAUUAAAGCCAAUGUCAGCUAAACUUUCUGGAAAACUUGUAACCCCGUAGAGACUUUCUCAUUUAUUGAGAGGAUGGUUGCUUAUUAACAAUCAUAAUACGCCGAUUAUCCACCUUAGUGAGGUGGAUAGUGGUAUAGUCCAUACGCUUAGAAAUAAGGGAGUAAUAUGGUCGUCAGCUCGUGUCGUGAGACGUCUGCUUAAGUGCAGUAACGAGCGCAACCCUUGUCGUCAGUUACAAGUGUCUGACGAGACUGCCCUUGCCAAGCAAGGGAGGAAGGAGAGGAUGACGUCAAGUCAGUAUGUUCCUUAUGUCUAGGGCAACACACAUCCUACAAUGGGGCCUACAACGGGUAGCGAAGAGGUAACUCGGAGCCAAUCCUAAUAAAAGGCCUCUCAGUUCGGAUUGAGGGCUGAAACUCGCCCUCAUGAAGAUGGAAUCGGUAGUAAUCGCGAAUCAUCAGGUCGCGGUGAAUACGUUCUCGCUCCUUGCACAAAUUAAUAUGCGCUUUCCGCAUAUAUAUUCUAGUUGGUUAAAAUCCAACUUAAUUGAUACAAGCAAUUAAAAGCAAAAUCACAGGCCUCUGAGAGUAAUCUCAAGGCUGAAGGGUGAAAUUAGCAGAUGUUAGCUUGAAGUCGAAACGGCUAUUUAUCUUGGUGAUCCAUCGUGCAGCUGGAGAAACCACUUGUAAAUUUGAGAUAAGUAGUAUUUGGGCUCGAGAUGACAUCGAAUAGAAAAUAUAUGUACGAAAGGAGAUCCUAAAUAUUCUAAAUUUCGUCACUAAAUUAGUAGCGAAAUCUAGUAUGAUAAAGGUAACAAUAUCAAAUAGUAUUUAGGAAGUCUGCAGAGGCCAUAGUACCACUUAGUGGGAAGGGCCAAACUUAACCUAAUGAAAUUACCUCCUGAUUAUGUGUGCGGAUUUGUUGAUGGUGAGGGAUGCUUUACCAUCGUCAUUUCUAAACACAAAACCAAGAAGCUUGGACUCGAUGCUCGACUUCACUUUGAAAUCGAGUUAAGAGCAGAUGACGAGGAAAUUCUCAAGAGUAUACAAGAAACUCUUGGAUGUGGUCGAAUUUAUCAUAUUAACUAUGAUAAAUACGGCUGGGCACCUCACGCUGAACUAAAAGUUUCUUCAAUUAAAGAUAUCAGGAAUAAGAUCAUACCUUUCUUUAAAAAGCAUAAAUUGCGGGCAAAGAAAAAACAUUCAUUUGAACUUUUUUGCCAAGCAGCUGAGCUAUUUUAUAGAAAGGAGCAUCUGACCAUGGAGGGAAUUGAAAAGCUAAAAGCGAUUAGAAAAAAUAUGAAUCGCUACAGCAAAAAAGGUUGAGGGUUCGCCACGGUGCGGGAAAACCGCGCGCCGGGCGGCGGGAGACAGAUUGUCAGUGAUGAAAUCAUGAUCUCAGAACACUGCCCGUCAAGCCAGCAAAGUCAGCAGCGCCCGAAGCGGGAGACCAUGACCCUUCCUUUUGGUUGGGAGUGGCCCUUCUACGGCGAGGUUGGCGAUGAGGACUAAGUCGUAACAAGGUAUCCGUACUGGAAGGUGCGGAUGGAUCACCUCCUUUCUA
rnacentral:rRNA from 1 species